rnacentral:rRNA from 1 species
CCUACGUGGGUCUGCAGUGAGGAAUAUUGGUCAAUGGACGACAGCCUGAACCAGCCAAGUAGCGUGAAGGAUGACUGCCCUACGGGUUGUAAACUUCUUUUAUAUGGGAAUAAAAUGUUCCACGUGUGGGAUUUUGUAUGUACCAUAUGAAUAAGGAUCGGCUAAUUCCGUGCCAGCAGCCACGGUAAUACGGAGGAUCCGAGCGUUAACCGGAUUUAUUGGGUUUAAAGGGAGCGUAGGCGGAGUGGUAAGUCAGUUGUGAAAGUUGGCGGCUCAACCGGAGAAUUGCAGUUGAAACUGGACGUCUUGAGUACAGUAGAGGUAGGCGGAAUUCGUGGUGUAGCGGUGAAAUGCUUAGAUAUCACGAGGAACUCCGAUUGCGAAGGCAGCUCACUGGACUGCAACUGACACUGAGGCUCGAAGGUGUGGGUAUCAAACAGGAUUAGAUACCCCAGUAGUC